rnacentral:tRNA from 1 species
AAAUGAAAAACAAAACCUUUAUUGCAAUCAGUUUCGACCUGAUCUUCUGAUGAAAUCAUCUUCAUUUA